CUCGUCAUGGUGUAGUGGUAGCACCCCUGUGGUAAGGAUCCUAAGCCCACAGAAGGCCGUAGUUCGAUUCUAUGUGACGGGGCCA
rnacentral:tRNA from 1 species